rnacentral:rRNA from 1 species
AUGCACGCUGGCGGCGUGCCUCAUCCCUGCAAGUCGCGCGAACGGACGAGAAGCUUGCUUCUCUGAUGUUAGCGGCGGACGGGUGAGUAACACGUGGAUAACCUACCUAUAAGACUGGGAUAACUUCGGGAAACCGGAGCUAAUACCGGAUAAUAUUUUGAACCGCAUGGUUCAAAAGUGGAAGACGGUCUUGCUGUCACUUAUAGAUGGAUCCGCGCUGCAUUAGCUAGUUGGUAAGGUAACGGCUUACCAAGGCAACGAUGCAUAGCCGACCUGAGAGGGUGAUCGGCCACACUGGAACUGAGACACGGUCCAGACUCCUACGGGAGGCAGCAGUAGGGAAUCUUCCGCAAUGGGCGAAAGCCUGACGGAGCAACGCCGCGUGAGUGAUGAAGGUCUUCGGAUCGUAAAACUCUGUUAUUAGGGAAGAACAUAUGUGUAAGUAACUGUGCACAUCUUGACGGUACCUAAUCAGAAAGCCACGGCUAACUACGUG